rnacentral:rRNA from 1 species
AUUGAACGCUGGCGGAAUGCUUUACACAUGCAAGUCGAACGGUAGAGGGGGCAACCCCUCGAGAGUGGCGAACGGGUGAGUAAUAUAUCGGAACGUGCCCAGUCGUGGGGGAUAACGUAGCGAAAGUUACGCUAAUACCGCAUACGAUCUAAGGAUGAAAGCGGGGGAUCGCAAGACCUCGCGCGAUUGGAGCGGCCGAUAUCAGAUUAGGUAGUUGGUGGGGUAAAGGCUCACCAAGCCAACGAUCUGUAGCUGGUCUGAGAGGACGACCAGUCAGACUGGAACUGAGACGCGGUCCAGACUCCUACGGGAGGCAGCAGUGGGGGAUUUUGGACAAUGGACGCAAGUCUGAUCCAGCCAUUCCGCGUGCAGGAUGAAGGCCCUCGGGUUGUAAACUGCUUUUGUACGGAACGAAAAGGUCUCUCUUAAUACGGGGGGCUCAUGACGGUACCGUAAGAAUAAGCACCGGCUAACUACGUGCCAGCAGCCGCCGUAA